GACGAACGCUGGCGGCGUGCCUAACACAUGCAAGUCGAACGGAAAGGCCCUGCUUUUGUGGGGUGGUCGUGUGCCGAAGGGGUGAGUAACACGUGAGUAACCUGUCCCUGUCAUUGGGAUAUCUUCAGGGAACAGGGUCUCUAACCGCAUAGGAUCUCUUGCUGCAUGGUGGGCAUUGGAAAGUUUCGGCGGUUGGGGAUGUAUUGGCGGCUUAUCCGCUUGAUGGUGGGGUAGUGGCUUACGAAGGCUUUGAAGGGUAGCCGGCCUGGGAGGGGGGACGGGCACAUGGGGACUGAGAGACGGCCCAGACUGGUACGGGAGGCAGCGGUGGAGAGGAUGACAGAGUAGGCGGGAGUGAGAUGUGAAAAAGCUGGGUGCGGGAAGACGUGCUUUGGGUUGUGAACCGAUUUCGCCUGAGAUGAGGCGAGAGUGACGGUAACGGGUCAAGAAGCACCGGCUAACUACGUG
rnacentral:rRNA from 1 species